GUCUUCAGGGCUAGACGGUGCAGCGAAGUACUGUUAAUACUUAGAUCACUGGUUCGACUCCAGUUGGAGACU